rnacentral:rRNA from 1 species
UACGGAGGGUGCGAGCGUUGUCCGGAAUCACUGGGCGUAAAGGGCGCGUAGGCGGCCUGAUAAGUAGGGGGUGAAAUCUUGCGGCUUAACCGCAAGGCUGCCUUCUAAACUGUCAGGCUAGAGCACAGUAGAGGCAGGUGGAAUUCCCGGUGUAGCGGUGGAAUGCGCAGAUAUCGGGAGGAACACCAGUGGCGAAAGCGCUUUACUGGGCCGUAACUGACGCUGAGGGACGAAAGCCAGGGUAGCGAAAGGG